AUGAGAAUGAAAAAAAAAACUCUCUCUUGGAUAAAACCCAUAAAUUGUCCCAAAUAUCUCCUUCAUAUUGAACGAGACUGCAGCUGGAUGCUUUGUUCAGGAUCGAUCCUGUGGCGAAAGGCAUUCAGCGUCUAGCAGAUCAAGGCAGAGAGAAAGGGGGAACACAUUUUGUCAAUACCUUAAUAAUUGAGCUAGAGAUAGACAAGAUGGACAAGAUGCAGCUCUAUUCGGUGGGAAAAACACUUUGAGAAACCACCAACUCGGUGCUUAUGUCUAUCACAUGCCCAAACCCUUCAGCCUGGCUGCAGCGUGUGUCCAGGAUGAGACGAACAAGAAGGAUGACCUGGAGGAUGGAAACAGUGGACAGAAGGAGACAGAGAGUGUGGAGAGGGGUAAACAGGAAGUGAAGACGGGGGAUUGGCGGGUUGUAAACAAUGAGGGUGCUCAACGGAUGCCAAUCUAAUGUGCCCGAGGCUAGAGAGACAUCAGCACGCCAACACUCCAGACAGAGGAGGCCGAACAGUCAUCUAUUAAAAAAAAAAACAAGCACACCAACCAUUUACAAGUGCUAAUAAAGAUAAUUAAUAGAAAAAC